UGGAAAGGCGCGCGAUACAGGGUGACAGCCCCGUACACAAAAAUGCACAUGCUGUGAGCUCGAUGAGUAGGGCGGGACACGUGGUAUCCUGUCUGAAUAUGGGGGGACCAUCCUCCAAGGCUAAAUACUCCUGACUGACCGAUAGUGAACCAGUACCGUGAGGGAAAGGCGAAAAGAACCCCGGCGAGGGGAGUGAAAAAGAACCUGAAACCGUGUACGUACAAGCAGUGGGAGCACGCUUAGGCGUGUGACUGCGUACCUUUUGUAUAAUGGGUCAGCGACUUAUAUUCUGUAGCAAGGUUAACCGAAUAGGGGAGCCGAAGGGAAACCGAGUCUUAACUGGGCGUUAAGUUGCAGGGUAUAGACCCGAAACCCGGUGAUCUAGCCAUGGGCAGGUUGAAGGUUGGGUAACACUAACUGGAGGACCGAACCGACUAAUGUUGAAAAAUUAGCGGAUGACUUGUGGCUGGGGGUGAAAGGCCAAUCAAACCGGGAGAUAGCUGGUUCUCCCCGAAAGCUAUUUAGGUAGCGCCUCGUGAAUUCAUCUCCGGGGGUAGAGCACUGUUUCGGCAAGGGGGUCAUCCCGACUUACCAACCCGAUGCAAACUGCGAAUACCGGAGAAUGUUAUCACGGGAGACACACGGCGGGUGCUAACGUCCGUCGUGAAGAGGGAAACAACCCAGACCGCCAGCUAAGGUCCCAAAGUCAUGGUUAAGUGGGAAACGAUGUGGGAAGGCCCAGACAGCCAGGAUGUUGGCUUAGAAGCAGCCAUCAUUUAAAGAAAGCGUAAUAGCUCACUGGUCGAGUCGGCCUGCGCGGAAGAUGUAACGGGGCUAAACCAUGCACCGAAGCUGCGGCAGCGACGCUUAUGCGUUGUUGGGUAGGGGAGCGUUCUGUAAGCCUGCGAAGGUGUGCUGUGAGGCAUGCUGGAGGUAUCAGAAGUGCGAAUGCUGACAUAAGUAACGAUAAAGCGGGUGAAAAGCCCGCUCGCCGGAAGACCAAGGGUUCCUGUCCAACGUUAAUCGGGGCAGGGUGAGUCGACCCCUAAGGCGAGGCCGAAAGGCGUAGUCGAUGGGAAACAGGUUAAUAUUCCUGUACUUGGUGUUACUGCGAAGGGGGGACGGAGAAGGCUAUGUUGGCCGGGCGACGGUUGUCCCGGUUUAAGCGUGUAGGCUGGUUUUCCAGGCAAAUCCGGAAAAUCAAGGCUGAGGCGUGAUGACGAGGCACUACGGUGCUGAAGCAACAAAUGCCCUGCUUCCAGGAAAAGCCUCUAAGCAUCAGGUAACAUCAAAUCGUACCCCAAACCGACACAGGUGGUCAGGUAGAGAAUACCAAGGCGCUUGAGAGAACUCGGGUGAAGGAACUAGGCAAAAUGGUGCCGUAACUUCGGGAGAAGGCACGCUGAUAUGUAGGUGAAGUCCCUCGCGGAUGGAGCUGAAAUCAGUCGAAGAUACCAGCUGGCUGCAACUGUUUAUUAAAAACACAGCACUGUGCAAACACGAAAGUGGACGUAUACGGUGUGACGCCUGCCCGGUGCCGGAAGGUUAAUUGAUGGGGUUAGCCGCAAGGCGAAGCUCUUGAUCGAAGCCCCGGUAAACGGCGGCCGUAACUAUAACGGUCCUAAGGUAGCGAAAUUCCUUGUCGGGUAAGUUCCGACCUGCACGAAUGGCGUAAUGAUGGCCAGGCUGUCUCCACCCGAGACUCAGUGAAAUUGAACUCGCUGUGAAGAUGCAGUGUACCCGCGGCAAGACGGAAAGACCCCGUGAACCUUUACUAUAGCUUGACACUGAACAUUGAGCCUUGAUGUGUAGGAUAGGUGGGAGGCUUUGAAGUGUGGACGCCAGUCUGCAUGGAGCCGACCUUGAAAUACCACCCUUUAAUGUUUGAUGUUCUAACGUUGACCCGUAAUCCGGGUUGCGGACAGUGUCUGGUGGGUAGUUUGACUGGGGCGGUCUCCUCCUAAAGAGUAACGGAGGAGCACGAAGGUUGGCUAAUCCUGGUCGGACAUCAGGAGGUUAGUGCAAUGGCAUAAGCCAGCUUGACUGCGAGCGUGACGGCGCGAGCAGGUGCGAAAGCAGGUCAUAGUGAUCCGGUGGUUCUGAAUGGAAGGGCCAUCGCUCAACGGAUAAAAGGUACUCCGGGGAUAACAGGCUGAUACCGCCCAAGAGUUCAUAUCGACGGCGGUGUUUGGCACCUCGAUGUCGGCUCAUCACAUCCUGGGGCUGAAGUAGGUCCCAAGGGUAUGGCUGUUCGCCAUUUAAAGUGGUACGCGAGCUGGGUUUAGAACGUCGUGAGACAGUUCGGUCCCUAUCUGCCGUGGGCGCUGGAGAACUGAGGGGGGCUGCUCCUAGUACGAGAGGACCGGAGUGGACGCAUCACUGGUGUUCGGGUUGUCAUGCCAAUGGCACUGCCCGGUAGCUAAAUGCGGAAGAGAUAAGUGCUGAAAGCAUCUAAGCACGAAACUUGCC
rnacentral:rRNA from 1 species